GAUGAAGAACGCAGCGAAAUGCGAUAAGUAAUGUGAAUUGCAGAAUUCAGUGAAUCAUCGAAUCUUUGAACGCACAUUGCGCCCUCUGGUAUUCCGGGGGACAUGCCUGUUCGAGCGUCAUUAUAACCACUCAAGCUCUCGCUUGGUAUUGGGGUUCGCGGUUUCGCGGCCCCUAAAAUCAGUGGCGGUGCCUGUCGGCUCUACGCGUAGUAAUACUUCUCGCGAUUGAGUUCGAUAGGUCUACUUGCCAGUAACCCCCAAUUUUUACAGGUUGACCUCGGAUCAGGUAGGGAUACCCGCUGAACUUAAGCAUAUCAAUAAGCGGAGGA
rnacentral:misc_RNA from 1 species